CAAGUACACCCUCCGUCCGGAAUUACUUGUCAUCAAAAUGGAUGUGUCUAGAACUAAAAUACAUCCAGAUACAUCCAUUUCAAUGACAAGUAUUUUUGGAUGGAGGGAGUACAAG
rnacentral:pre_miRNA from 1 species